UGGUUCCUAUUCCAGAACCCGGUUGCGGAACCGCACUCACGAUCCUCGUAUUGACACGGUAACGUGAAUGACCCCAGAGACGCCGUCUGGAGCCCCGGGAAGAGUUUUCUUUUCUGCCUGAGCGUUCGGGUUCCAUGGAAUCCUCUCGCAGGGAGAUAUGGAAUGGAACGCGAAGAGCACCGCAGUUGCUGCGGUGUCCGGGGAUUCUCGUCGGCCCUUGAAAAUCUGGGUGAGGGUCACGUGGAGGCGCCGCACCGGCUCGUACCCAUUCCGCAGCAGGUCUCCAAGGUCAAUAGCCUCUAGUCGAUAGAAUAAUGUAGGUAAGGGAAG
rnacentral:rRNA from 1 species